rnacentral:rRNA from 1 species
GCUUGACUGUAGUUUGGAAUAGGGUUCGGGCUUUUCUUGCGCAGCCUAGGUGGGAGGCAUUGAGGAUUUCUUUUCGGGGAAAUCGGAGCCAUCAUUGAGAGACCACUCUGGAAGAGCUAGAAUCCUAAUGGCGUUCCUUGAAUCAGGACGCUUGACAGUUUCAGAUGGGCAGUUUUCUUGGGGCGAGAUUCUUAGUUAUGGGAUGCUUGGAAAUUUUAUGAUCGGAAAAAUAAAUCGAUUUAAACGUUUUUAAAUCGAUUUAAAAUUAGCAAAAAUCUUUGCACUUUCAAAGCUAAAGAAAAAUCAAUAAUUAAUUGUUAAUUUGUUUGAUUGUAUAAAAUUCAAGUAGAAUUUGACUAUAUGCUGGAAUGUUUCUAUGUUGACUAACUGUGGGAUAAGCUCGCCUUGUCGUUACCUACCACAACUGUUAAACAGUAGGGGUUUUUAACCCCUGAAGCUAAUCAGCAGGGUCAUAAAAAAAAUUUUGUGACCUUCAAAGACUUUACGUUAAACUUUUAAGUUAUUCUUUUAAACCUUAAAAGAUGAUAAAGUCUAACCUAAUAAUCAUUUCUUAGGUUGCCUAAAAGGUAACGGAGAAGCGCAAUGGUCCCCUCAACCUGGACGGAAAUCAGGCUUUGAGUGCAAAGGCAUAAGGGGGCUUGACUGCAAGACCUACAAGUCGAGCAGG